GCCCUGAAUGCGGGUGCCAGACAAUGACUGCCCUGCAGACCUUCUUGGGCCCUCGGGCCCUCGGUUUCAAUCUCAGCCCCUCAGGAGAAACCCUACCGUCUCUGAGCCUUGCUUACCUCUACUUCAAAGUGGGGUAAUGUGACAAUUACGGGCAACUUUUGCUAUAAUAAUGAAAUAAUAACUAAUAAUAAUAAUAGCCGUUGCUGUUGUUGUCUGCAUCUCUGAGAGCCCUUGUAGCCCAGACAUUCUUCUCUAAGUCCUAGGGAGUGCAUACUUACUUGACCAAGCCGGCUGUCUUGCCCUGGGACACAGCCUUUUCAUACUGCUUCUUGGCGACUUCCUUCUCCUUGACAUUCCCAGGGUAGGUAACACCGUCGAUGGUCCUGUAAGAAAGGAGAGUUGGGGGCUCAAGCUGAGCCAGACUUCCCUCCCCCGCCGGAGCCAGCAGCCGUGGUGAUACCCACAAGGUGAAGUUGGUGAUGAAGGCCGUCUUGGGCAGCUCCACGUCAAAGGACACCUCCUUGGCGGUGUCUGCACGGUUGACAGCCCUCGUGGUGACAACAUUGUGAGCAAAGCGGGAGGUGACCUUGCAGCUGAUCUUGGUGCUGUAGACCUCGAUGCCGUUGACGACCUGCAGGAGUGGGUGGUGAUCCGCCUCUGGGAAACCAGACCUUCAACCUGGCUGCUCCCCUUCCAGGCUCUGUCCGCACAGCCCAGAGCCCCUGCCUGGUAAGUGGUCCCUCCAGUUUCCCAGUCACCGUGUCUGGAGCCUGGGCGGCAUCUUCCACCUUCAUGUUCAGUUGUCUACCCCGGUUCUGGAAUUCUCUGGCCUUUCUGAGCACCUGUCUCCCCCUCAGAGAUGAGGGGCUCCUUGUUGGGUGGGAUGCUUGUCUGAUUCAACCUUUGCCUCUCCCUGUUCACUGACCUCACAGGCCCCUAGCUCAGCCCACCUUAGAGCUCAGCACCAAGAAGCCCCUGGGGGAGGGGUUUUGCACCAUGAGAAGGAACUUCAUGCUGGGUGGUAUUGCCUGUGUUGGUGCCAAGCGGAGGGGGAGGGGAAAGGGGGAGAGGGAGAGGGCCCUGUUCCACAUCCUUAACCCUGGGUCUGUUUACAUAACAUGUAGCCAGCUGUAGUGGGGAGAUCUUAUAAAAACCUAAAUCUGCCGCUCCCCAUCACCCUCAGGACGGUUUUCCCCAUGGCUCUGAGGUCCCCCAGGCAGGUCCUGCCUCUCUGAUCAUCUGUGCUCCAGCCACACCAAGUCUCUGGCCCUAGAUCACCCUAGCUCCUCCCGCUCACCUCCACUUGGAAAGAAAUCACAGUUGCACACACCCCGCCCUCCUCCUCUCCUUUGGUAAUUGCCCAGUUCUGUCCCCAGAUAAGGGGAGUGUGUGGGGACGACCUUCAUGCCCCCAGCACCUUCUCUCCAAUGCAGACGGUGGACCGAGGGAAGGCCGAGGGAGACAUCUGGCAGGAUAUAAAGAUGCUUCAUGAGGAUGUGUGUCCCCAGCCCUGCGCACGGGCCCUGGUACCAGUGAGUGCUGGGAGAAAGCAACAGCUCAUGAGCAGAGGAGGGGCAGAGAGAGGGAGACACAGAAUCCGAGGCAGGCUCCAGGCUCCAAACUGUCAGCACAGAGCCCAAGAUGGGGCUGGAACCCACAAGCUGUGAGACCAUGAUCUGAGCUGAAGCCAGAUGCUUAACCAACUGAGCCACCCAGGCACCCCCAGAUUUGUGUUAUUGCUCUGGGUCUUCAAGGGCCUCCACUGCAGUGGGAACUGGACAGAAGCCAGCAGAGAAAAAGUAGAAAUCUUUGGAAAAGAAACGCCCAUCACCCAGAGGGCCAGAAGCUCCCCAAGGUCUGCUAUGACCCCUGAGUCCUUCCUGGUGGCAGCAUCUUGGAUCGCCUCCCCAUCGCCCUCCCUCCCAGAAAGCAGCCGGCCUGGACUGGACAUAGCUUCUCUUUAAUGGAAGUCACGGGUGCUUUGACACAGUGGAUCAGCUUGGACAGCAAGAUGUGUCCUGGGCAGUGGGUCAGGAUGCUGUGCUCCUCUGCCGUGAGCCCAAGGAAGGACAGGUGUGUUGGCCAGGGGCUCAGAAGAUGUCAGGGACAAUAUAGUCAGUGUGAACGCCAUCGAUCAGCCCAGCCCCAUUGUUGUGGACGAACCAGCAGGUCACCUCAGCCCCAUGCCGGGGGUCCUUGCUGUAGUCUUUUUGCAAGCCCCUGGAGAGAUACAAAUCAGCUGGGGUUACCUUUUGGACUCAGCAGGGCUGCACCCCCUCCAGGAAGCCCACUCCAUCCGUGUGACACCACGAGGAAGGCCCUGACCAACCACAGGAAUGCCAAGGGCAGAGAUGCUGGGAGAGCCACCCACCCACCUGGUGACGGUCAGCUGCCGGCUCUUCACCACCAUUGUGGCAUCUGUCUUUGUGGGGUCGGAGCCCGGGUGGGGGUCAGACACUUCAAAAUCAAAGGGGUGGAAGAAUUGUCCUGGAAAGGUACAUUGGAAGCAGCAGUGACCAUUGAGGGGCCUUGCACUCAGCAGGUGCUCACUGGAGGGUUAGGGUCUCCUGGGUGUUUUUUCUUAAGGGCAUGACUAUUUCUGAUACAUUUUGGCAUCGAAAGCUUCCUUUAGUUCACCUGCUCCAGAGAAGCACCUACUGGCAGGUGGUUGUACCUCCUGCCUCUUUUAGACCAACUCCGAAGGAACGUGGCUGGGGAGAGAGGGUUGAGAGGGAGGUGCCCACAGAGAGCAGGGUCUGCAGGAAGGCCACCAGGGGAAGCGGUGUGGCCAGUGACCCAUCACACCCAGGAAGUCUUGGGGAGCCCGGUCUGUUUGGACCCUCCUGCUAGUCGGACGUCUCCUGCUCGCCCCCAGGUCCACUUAAGCCUGAGUUUCACCUUGUGUGUGAUCACCUUUCUGAGGGACAAGACCUUUCCCAGGACAAGCCCUCUUUGGACCUUUGAGUCUUGAUGGCCAAGUUGGAGGGAAGUGUGUUCGGUGACCAGAGGCAAGUCUGACCCAUGGCGAGCCCGCUGGCUUCAACAGCACACCCCACAGCUCUGUCUGCCUAGCAGGUCGUACCCAGCAGCCCGUGUGUCCGUGCCGACAUCCGGUGACUGUCCAGCACGUAGAAGCCCAGGAAGUCCUGGUGAAUGGCACUCCCCUUCCACACCCGGUGCAAGACGACCUCAAAAGUGCCCCCGUCCUCCACAGACACCACCAGGUUCCUCUUCCUGUUGAUGGUCACUACCACCCUGCAGGGCCAGGUGGCCGUGAGGGCAGAUGCAGCCACAUUACACCUUUCUCCAUUCGGUCACCCUCGUCCUCUUGGACCCAGCUCUCAUGAGCUCCUCACCCUCACUCCCAGAUGGUGGGUGUUACCUUCUCACAUGUUGCUAUUGUGUAUGGGGCCCCUACAGUGUGCUAGACCCUGUGCCAAGCCCUCCCUACAAACUGCAUCAUUCAGUUCUCACUGUGAUCCUGUGAGGCUCAAAGAGGUUAAGUAACUUGCCCAAGGUCACACAGCUAGAAAGCAGUAAAGCCAGGACUUAAACUCCAGCCUGUCCAAUAUCAAAGUCUGUGUUCUUUGACCACCACUCAUCAUCUGUGUCCUCCACCUGGACUCUGCCCACCUCUUUCUAUAGCUCUCUGUCUGGCGUCAGGCUCUGAUGCUCAGCAGAGUUUGCUGAGUGAAUGAGUGAAGGAACGAACAAACACAAGGCAAGGCGUGCUAACACAGGUGCUGAAAGAGCACUCUGGAGUUUCAGGGAAUGGGUAGCCUUUGCCCUGGGCCAGGGAGGUGAGUCGGCUUUGCUUGGUGGAGAUGGGAUGGACUGUAGGGCGAGGGAGCCUGGGAGCCCAGACCCGCAGGCAGCCGGGCCUGGAGCACGUGUCUGGGAACCGAGGGAAAUGGGUGGGGUGGUCCUCAGGGUCCCACAUGUCUGCCCAGCUCCCAGGGAAGCCACGUGGAUGUCAUUCACUGCCAUGGCGCAGGUGACCAGGGCCCGGCAAGCUCAGGCAGCUGAGCUGGCUCUGGGGCUUCGUGCCUGUCCCUAACCACCCUUGCCCUUGCCUCCCCACCCAGCCCCCGGCCCCAGCCUGGUUACUCAUGCUGCCGCAGUGAAGCCUGGUCUCCCCAGGAGAACACGGGGCCGCCCAAGCCAGGGUUCAGCGUAAUGUUCUGGGGAGUCACUUCCAGAUGAAAGUCCGUUGCGGGGUUGGCGAUCCCCAGCCGCCCGAAGUACGUGCCCUCAUGCUGCCCGGGGCUCCUGGCCUUGUUGCCAAUGAGCUGCCCAUUCACUGAGAAGCCUGCAGCGGGGUGAGGGGCCGUCCGGGUCAGGGAGGGGUCUGCUCUCGCCAGACCCCUGCCAGCCUGCCUGUGCUCAUGCCGCACCUCCCCCCGGGAGACACCC